rnacentral:rRNA from 1 species
UACGAAGGGUGCAAGCGUUACUCGGAAUUACUGGGCGUAAAGCGUGCGUAGGUGGUUCGUUAAGUCUGAUGUGAAAGCCCUGGGCUCAACCUGGGAAUGGCAUUGGAUACUGGCGACCUAGAGUGCGGUAGAGGGGUGUGGAAUUCCCGGUGUAGCAGUGAAAUGCGUAGAUAUCGGGAGGAACACCAAUGGCGAAGGCGGCAUCCUGGACCAAUACUGACGCUGAGGAGCGAAAGCCAGGGGAGCAAACGGG